CUAGGAUGAACGCUAGCGGCAGGCUAACACAUGCAAGUCGAGGGGCAACGCGAGUAGCAAGUACUUGGCGGCGACCGGCGCAAGGGUGCGUAACGCGUGAGCAACAUGCCCGUAUCAGGGGGAUAAUCCAGGGAAACUUGGUCUAAUACCCCAUAGUAAUUUUGUAAGGCAUCUUAUAAGAUUUAAAGCUUUGGUGGAUACGGAUUGGCUCGCGUGACAUUAGCUGGAUGGUAAGGUAACGGCUUACCAUGGCUAUGAUGUCUAGGGGUUCUGAGAGGAAGGUCCCCCACACUGGAACUGAGACACGGUCCAGACUCCUACGGGAGGCAGCAGUGAGGAAUAUUGGACAAUGGAUGGAAAUCUGAUCCAGCCAUGCCGCGUAGAAGGAAGAAGGUCCUAUGGAUUGUAAACUUCUUUUGUAUGGGAGCAAUAAGGCCUACGUGUAGGUUGAUGAGAGUACCAUACGAAUAAGCACCGGCUAACUCCGUGCCAGCCGCAGC
rnacentral:rRNA from 1 species